UCAAGUUAAUUAAAUAUCCCCCUUAACGAUUGACGUGACAAAAAAGUGUACUCAAUUUAUUAAAAGCGCGUGGGAUGAAAAAAAAAAAACUAAAACUAAUCCCAACUUUACAGAUGCCAUCUUCUAAUUGGAUGAUAUAUUAAGAUUUUCUUAAUAUUUUAUUUUCCAUUUUAAAUUAACUUUUUUCUUUUCUUUCUUAUGCUUUUCCCUUUCCCUUUCUUUCUUAUUCUUUUCCCUUUCCCUUUCUUUUCUAUCCUCUCGCUUCUCCUCUCAAUCCGCAUCUUCUUUCUUCUUCUUUUAAUUUUUUUUCCUUUCUUUUUCUAGAUAAAUUGAAGAGAGCAGAUAUGCUUGAAACGAUAAAUUGAAGAGAGUAGAUAUUCGUUUUCUAGAUAUCCUUGUUGUUCAAACCCAAUUUAAACAAUACUCACUUAUCUAAAUCACUUAUUUCUCCACUUUUUGUUACAAUUUCGUCCUUUGAAGCUUCAUAUCUUCGGUUACAAAGCACACAAAGCAAAAAACUCACUUGAAUUGUUGUGGGGAAUAAGGAGAUGGGGGCAGCAGCAACAGCUGAAACGAUGGGGAAUAAGGAGAGGGAGAGGAGGGGUGAGUGGGGGCGGAGGGAUGGGGGCAGCAGCAACAGCACAAAAAUGAAGAAUUCUUGGUGUGGUUAAUGGCGACCAGGUAGCAGUUACUUGAUCAUUCCAGCUUACGUCAGUUCAGUUCAGUCGAGGUGAGCCACCAUUAGAUCAUGGCUGCCUCUUCUUCUUUAGUUGACUUAGUAGUAUUCUGAGCUACGUCUCGUACUUUUGUAUUCAGAUUAGUAGUUUCAUGACUUAGCCAUUUUAUGGGGUUUAUGGGCAGACUUAGUAUUUGUAUUUCGCUUCCGCACUUUUCUUUAUAUUGUGAGACAAGUAGUAUUAUUCA